UACGGGGGGGGCAAGCGUUGUUCGGAAUUACUGGGCGUAAAGAGCUCGUAGGUGGUUUGUCGCGUUGUCCGUGAAAACUCACAACUCAAUUGUGGGCGUGCGGGCGAUACGGGCAGACUGGAGUACUGCAGGGGAGACUGGAAUUCCUGGUGUAGCGGUGGAAUGCGCAGAUAUCAGGAGGAACACCGGUGGCGAAGGCGGGUCUCUGGGCAGUAACUGACGCUGAGGAGCGAAAGCGUGGGGAGCGAACGGG
rnacentral:rRNA from 1 species